rnacentral:lncRNA from 1 species
AACGCACAUGCACCACUUGGGCUGAUGUCUUCCAAGAAGGUGUGGACUCUGAGCAAUAGUCUGGCUAUGGGAAGAGAUGGAGUCCAUGUUGCCUCGCCUGGUCUUGGACUAUUGGCCUCAAGCGAUCAUCCUACCUCAGCCUCUCAAAGUGCUAGCAUUCAAGCUCACAAACAAGAGUUUUGAACCUAGGCAGGCUAAGCAGUGAUCUUGAGGACUGAAAGGGGAAACUGCUGUCAAUUAAUAGGACAUCAAACACCCAUACUCUACUGGAAAAAUGUGUCCACAGACAUUUGCUUGAGAGGAGGAGGUGGCUGGUGAAGAGCCCUAUGGUUGCUCUCCUGUGUCUUCACUCUUAGCAGCUACAACAUGCACAAGAUUCAGUGCAUUCAAUAAUUAGUUCUCAGCAUCCUGUGAACUGGCGAUCUAUUUCCAGAAUGAUUUAGUGCAGUUUCCUCUAAGUCCAUGCUAAAAGAGGAAAUAAUUAGGCUCAGAAGCAUUUAACUUAAAACUGGUGUUUCUACUUAUCUACAAUGACUGUGCUAAUUAGGCCUCUCAUAAAUUUCUCUGACAUACUUCACUCUACAACCUCGAGCCUUUACCUCAUGUGUUCCCCUGGGAUCUAGAAUGGUGCUGGAAAACCACUGAGAUGGGAGCCUCUUAGUCUGGACUCCCUGGAGGAAGAGUAAUUCACUUAAGAAAAAGUUUGCCAUCCCCCGAUCUACAUGAUACUUAUGAGAAAAAUGAGGCUCAAGGACGUUCAAUGGUAUUUCGGUAUUUCGGUAUUUCGAUGUCACUCUGCUACUUACUGGUGGCACCAAGAUUUAAAGAUGUGCCUAUCUGACUUUAAAUGAAAGCCUACGUUCUUUACAGUUCUCCAAAUCAAAACUUGAAGAUAAAACCCCAACUUCCUCCAAAGUAUACUGUAUGAGUGGCACAGCACAUUACAAGCUGAGAAAGAUGAGCUAUGAAUAAUAAUGCUAUUUUUAAAGAUCCUUGUGAGACAUAAUAACUGUUGGAAACUUCAGCUAUAUAAGAAUACUGCACUGUAAGUUAUCUUUUUCCUUCGACUUCUAAUUUAACUCUAAAUUAUAGCAGUUAUAAUUAAGAGCAAAAAUUAUACGACAAACCAUUUGGGGGAAAAAAACAAACGGAAUCUUGCCAGCAAAAUUGACAUUAGUUUCAAUGUACAGCUUUCACAUUGAAACAGACUCUAAAAUAUUUGAUGUGUUCACGUAAUAUGAUAUGGUUCACCUGUAUGAACUUGCUGACUCUUUCCCAGGCUGGAUAGGGCAGGGCAGGGCAAAGUGUGCUUAAAAUAAAAGUCUUUAGCAUGGCUUUUGUUUGAAACAUCCGUUUCUCUUUUUUGCUUAACUCCUUAACUACCCAGUCAGCCAAAACAAGGUACUUUGUAGAGACUUUUUGCAGAUAUCUGGUGGAAGAUAAUGCUAUGGAAAAAACUGCUGCUGCUCCCCUGUUCACACUGCCUCACCUGAGCCUUCAGAGUUUAGCAGCUUUUACAGGCAGCCAUUAAAUCCUCCCCAAGUGCCAUUGGCACCAUAAAAGCACAAGGCUUUAAAAACAGACACCAGAGAAGAGUGCUGAGCUGGCUCAAUUCAUACCGAGGCCAGCAAAUGCAGGAAAAGUAGUAUGUCUCCAAGACCUCAAUCUUCCCUAGACAGAGUCUAGCUGUUGUAUCAAUCUGAGAAAGGUUAGUUGAGGAGGGAAUAGAAUGGUAGACCAUGGCUUAUUUUGACUCUUAAGACAAGUUAGAAUUUAGGUUUUGGAAAGUCAAAGUCCAUGUGUCUCAGUCAGUCAGGAUAAAAUGAAAGGGAAGAAAUAAGUUAGUACCAUAGUACCAAUCCUCGCAGACACAUGUAGGAAGCAGAGAUCAAAGCCUUCACUCCACAAAUGUAAUCUGGGGGCAUGCGGCACUUUCUAGCAUUCAGGCAAUGAAUGUAGUCAUCUUACUUGCUAAUUUUCACUCAUUCUCUCCUGGAGGAGGGAGAAGGGGAUAAAAUUCCCAGCAAUCAGAACAAAAUAGUAGAAGUAUUUACUAAUUGUUCAGUGGGGAAGGCAGUGAAAGUACUGACUAGAGUGUGGCAUGGGGAUUUCCAGUUCCUACAUAUUCUAGUUUUCUGUUAGCACAAAGAAUGGGGUUGGAUAUAAACAUAACCCUGAAAGGCUCCUGCGAGAACAGCCUUUGACCUCAGCCCAUUACUCACUGGAAAUGAGUCCAGCACAUGGGUUCUAGCAGGACACACUCUGAAUCUGCCAGGGCACGUUGCGCAGUCUCAAGGUCAGGAUGACCCACAGUAUCAGACAGCUUCUGCCAAGUCAGCUUUUACCCCUGGAAGAACCAUAGAAGAGGGAGAGCCAUUAAUUCACAUUUUUCUCAGUCCAUUUUACCUCUGAACAUCCUACUAGAUGGCUUGUACCUUCAAAGGGGAAUGUUCCAGCAGCCCAGGACACUUGGCCAAGUCUCCGCUGGGACUCUUGGCUUGUUCUUUUUUUGCCUGCCUUUCUUCCAUUUCUCACAUGGCAAACUCACCUGAAGAGGCACAGCUGAGCCAUUACCAUCUCUGUGCCUUCUUUUUUCACUCCCUCAACCAGAGUCCAUUACUUUCUUGCACAUAUUUCCUCACAUCCUGUGUGUCUAUAAUUUCCACAUAGAAAUCAUCACACCAUGUGGAGGCAUCUGAUGAUUUUCUGCCCACUCAUCACUACACUGUAUUUAUCUUUGUAGCCAGAGCACUCAGCUCAGUACCUGGCAAUAAGUAAAGUAAGCAUUCAUUCAAGAGGUCUUUGCUUAUGACUCAUCAAAAAUGUGAUUAUGGAUUACUUUAUAAGAUAAAUAUUACAUUAAGUCUUAAUUAUAAUUAUUACAUUAAGUUAAUUAAAAGUAAAUAUUAAUUUAAAUAUUACCCCCCAAAUCUGAAAACCUAACGUAUGUUCACAUUUACUAAAAGAAAGAAAAAGUUUAAGCAAAAAGGAAAGAGGCAAAGGGCAGGAAGAAUAAAGCUUUGCUAAGGGAUGUAUGCAGGUAGCAUCUCAUUCUAGAAGCCAAAUAGAUGGGACAUGUGGUCCUUCACUACUUACAGCUACAGGGAAAAUAUAGACAGAAAGCUAUCCAGAACAGGGUGACUAACCAAUUUCAUGUUCAAAGGGGCUAAGAGUGGGAAGGUACCUGGAGCUGAAAGGUAGUUCAGGGAUUCCAAGGCUGAGGAAAUGGAUGUGUGCCUUGCCAGCCUCAUCCCUGAUCAAGAUUAGAUCCCUAAGUUCAAGAUUAGAGCUGUUUGACUUCUACUAUAGGUAGACAAACAGAAGCCAGAUGAAGAGAAGUUUCUAUCAAACAAGCACCAUUUCCACAUGCUCCGCUUGUGGAAUACAGUAGAAAUAUUGCAUUGAUAUAGUAGGACCCACACAACACAUGCUUUAUGAAAAAUUUAUUGUACAAUCUCUUUAAAAAAUAAUUUGGCAUUAUUCUCUAAAGGUAUGCCUAUAUAUAUUCUAAUACGUACUCUAUAACCUAGGACUUCCACUAUUAGGAGAAAAAUUCUUGCACAGGGGCAAUGGAAGUCAUGCACCAAAACAUUCACAGCUGUACUUUUGUAAUAGAAAAAAGCAAACUGAGAUCUCCAUCAACUAGAGGAUAGAAAAUGAACUAUGCAUGUAAAAAUAUUAAAUAGCAGUAAGAAUGAAUUAACUACAGAUACAGACAACAUUAUGGGGGAAUCUUAGAAAAAAAAUAAGCAAGUUGCAGAUGACAAUACUUAGAAUGAUUAAUUUUUUUCUUAAGCCCCCAAAUAAGGAAAGUUAAGUGAGAUGUCAUUUAGCAAUAUGUACAUGUGUAGGAAGAUUACUGUGGAAAAAAGCAAGAAAUUUAAGCAGUGGGAUAUGUAAGAGGAUGGAAUUGAGGAGCACAUAUGUAAUUUUGACUGUUGGUGGUAUGUUCACAGGUAUGCAUUUCUUGCUAUGCUUUUGACAAACACAUACGUUACAUGCUUUAUUCUGUAUCAAUCAAAUAUUAUAUAAAUUAAAUUAAUAUUUUAUUACUAGAAGGCAUUUGUUUUGAAAAUGUUUUAUACCUAGAAGCUUUGCUAUCUAUUUUGCCACCAUAGAAGCCUAGACAGGUGAAAACUCAGAUAUGGAGUACAAACUUCUUCAACAUGAAACAACUUUUUAAGAAACCAUUCUGCCUCAACUGAAAGAUGAGCAAGUCCAGGCACAGGGGCUCAAUUAAUUUGCUCAAAGUUACCCAACAGGCAAAUGCCAUUUUUAUUUCCUUCAUUGUCUAGCCAAUAACAGUCACUUGAGCUGUUUUUACUUGAGGAAACAAACAGAUAAAAUCAGGGUAAACUUUUCACUAGGUGAAACAAUAUUCCAAAAGGGCUCAGAUUUAGAUUUUUAUAGUAAGUGAUUUUUUUUUUCCUUGGGAAGAACCUCUCUCUGAACAUUUCCACAAUAAACUGGCAGAACAAAAGACUGAGGCUACUCAAGUUCUGGAAAUAUUUAGGGAUUGUUUCCUACCAGAACACCCUUUGCUCUCCGCAUGUGAAAUACAGAGAAUCAAGGCUCCAAUAACAGCUUAGGGAUACAGAUAUCAAAGGAAAAGUUGAAGGUCCAACAUGCUUCAUAUUUUAAUAAAUGAGAAAAGACCCAGUCAACUGGAAUUGCCUUUGAAGUAAUUGUGCUACACUUCAUGCCCGGUUUAAUCAUAGCAUAACACAGAGCUAAACAGAGAAAUAUUGCAAAAAAAAAAGAAAAAAAAAUAAAGAAUAUAAGAGGAAUUUCUCUGUAGCCAGUGUCACAAUAGAUGUGUUGGAAGUGGAGAAGCUCCGCCUUGGAGUGGGGACGCUCAGCUACACCUGCCUGAGGCUGUACUUCUAUGUAAUUACUAGAGAGUGUGGCUCACAAAGGACACACCCCCAAGGGCCCUGGAGCCACAAAUUCUAUGAAGAAAAAGAAAGAGAAAACCUGGAGGAUUUGUCCUUGGCAUGCUCAACUGUGAGGAAGAUCUGAUUCAGUUUGUCUCUUCCCAUAAAUCCCCAUGGAAAAUGUCAUGUCUCUGUGAAAAGGCAGUUCUUCCAAUGUUUACAGAAAGGCAUAGAGAUUCAACUGUCUUCUGGAAGGGGUCAGCAGGGGCAAAAUGAAUAUAGAGAGGAUAAAUUCAUAUCCUUAACACAAAAACAAAAAGGAGGGGGCUUAAAAUGAUAUGGUGGAAUAAUGGCGGAACACUUUGAAGCACAUACAAACUUAAAUGAGAGUUCACAGAGGAAGCCACUAUUACACAAGGAAUGUAAGAGCACCUAACCAUACAUUAAAAAGAGGUAUACAGAGACUGAAAGAGGAAAGGGAUUUUCCCCCAUUGUCUUUUUUUAAACAGCUUUAUUAAAGCAUAACUGAUGUACACUGAACUUUACAUAGUUAAUAAGUUAAUAGGUUUUGACAUAUGUAUCCCUCCCUGGAACUGUCACCACAAUCAAGAUAAUGAACAUAUUCAUCACUACCAGAAGUUUAUUCAUGCCUCUUUGUAAUCCCACCUUUGCAAUCCUCCCCACUCCCAUGCCUAGGGAACCACUGAUCUGCCAUACAGAUUAGUUUGCAUUUUCUAAGAUUUUAUAUAAAUGAAACCAUAAAAUUUUUAUUUUGCAUAAUUAUUUUGAGAUUAAUCCAUAUUGUAGCUCAUAAGGUAGUCUAAUUCCUUUUCAUUACUGAGUAAUAUUCCAUUGUACGGAUACACCAUAGUCUGUUUAUUCAUUCACCUGUAUGUGGACAUUUGAGUCAUAUCCAGUUUUUGGCUAUAAUCAUUCAUGUUCAAGUCUCUGUAGGUCUUAGGCUUGUUAAAUAAAAUUGAUGGUGGGGGGUGGGGGGCAUUGUUAUGGGCUGAGCUCCUGCACUAGGUGUAACAGAUCAGACCAAACCAGAAUAGAGUCACUCAUGCUAGGUGCCAUGAGGUCAAACUGAACAGGAGAUUCACAGCAACUGACAGAAGCCCAAUCUACUGGAACUGGCAUGAUAAUGAAAUCCUCUUUACUUUAAUUGUAUAAGGAAAGUAACUUUGAAAUGGCCAAUCUGCUUUUUUUCUGCUUUCUUAAGCUAUUUUCUACCUGUAAAGCCCACCUACUACGUUCAGCUUAGUGGAGUGCCUUUCUUUUUCAUAUAUGGAAUGCUGGUCGAUUAAUGGAUCACUAAUAAAGGCCAAUUAAAUUAUUAAACUCAAUUUGCUAAAAAUUUUUUGUUUGUUUGUUUUGAGACAGAGUCUAGCUUUGUUGCUAGGCUGGAGUGCAGUGGUGCGAUCUCGGCUCACUGCAACCUCUGCCUCCUGGGUUGAAGCGAUUCUCCUGCCUCAGCCUCCCGGGUAGCUGGGACUACAGGCACACUCCACCACGCCCAGCUAAUUUUUGUAUUUUUUUAGUAGAGAUGGGGUUUCACCAUGUUGCCCAGGAUGGUCUCGAUCUGACCUCAUGAUCCAUCCACCUCGGCCUCCCAAAGUGUUGGGAUUACAGGCGUGAGCCACCGCAGCUGGCUAAAAUUUUGUUACAUGGACAGCUUUCAUUUCUCCUGAGUAAAUGCCCAGGAAGGGAGCAGCUAUAUCAUAUGGUUCAUAUAUGUUUAAUUUUUUAAGAAACUGUUCAACUGUUUUUCCAAAUUUGCUGUACUAUUUUACAUUCUCACCAGUAGUAUAUGAGGAUUCCAGUUGCUUCACAUCCUUCACAAACACUUGAUACGGUCAGUCAUUUUCAUUUUAGUUAUUCUAAUAGGUGUACAGUGGCAUCUCCUUGGGUUUUUAAUUUGCAUUUUCUUAAUGACAAACGAUGUUGAAUAUAUUUCAUGUACUUAUUUGUCUUUAUAUAUUUCCUUUGGUGAAGUGUCCCUUCAGAUCUUUUGUCCAUUGUUGUAUGGGGUUGUUUUCUUAUUAUUGAGUUUUAUGAGUUCUUUAAAUAUUCUGCAUGUAACUUCUUUUUCAGAUAUAUAAUUCUGUACAUAUUUUCUUCCAGGCUGUGGUUUAUUUUUUCAAUCUUUUAGUAGUAUUUUCUAAAAGCCUGAGUUUUUAAUUGCAAUGAAACCCAACUUAACAAGUUAUUCUUUUAUCAGUUGUGUUUUGGUGUACUAGCUAAGAAAUCUUUGCCUAAGCCCAAGUCACAAAGGUUUUCACUUACGUUUUCUUUUACAAUUUCAUAGUUCGAUAUUUAAGUCUAUAAUCUUUUUGAGCAAAUGUUUAUAUAUAGUGUGAAUUGUUGAUUGAAGUUUGUUUGUUUUUACAUGUGAAUAUACAAUUGUUGAAAAGACUAGUGCUAUUUGUUGAAAAGACUAUCUCUUUACACUAAUGACCAUUAC